rnacentral:piRNA from 1 species
UNGGAACAGAAGCCUGACAUUGGGUCUCAG